AUUGAACGCUGGCGGCAUGCUUUACACAUGCAAGUCGAACGGUAACAGGCCGCAAGGUGCUGACGAGUGGCGAACGGGUGAGUAAUGCAUCGGAACGUGCCCAGUCGUGGGGGAUAACGCAGCGAAAGCUGCGCUAAUACCGCAUACGAUCUAUGGAUGAAAGCGGGGGACCGUAAGGCCUCGCGCGAUUGGAGCGGCCGAUGUCAGAUUAGGUAGUUGGUGGGGUAAAGGCUCACCAAGCCAACGAUCUGUAGCUGGUCUGAGAGGACGACCAGCCACACUGGGACGGAGACACGGCCCAGACUCCUACGGGAGGCAGCAGUGGGGAAUUUUGGACAAUGGGCGCAAGCCUGAUCCAGCAAUGCCGCGUGCAGGAAGAAGGCCUUCGGGUCGUAAACUGCUUUUGUACGGAACGAAACGGUCCUGGUUAAUACCCGGGGCUAAUGACGGUACCGUAAGAAUGAGCACCGGCUAACUACGUGCCAGCCGCCGCCGUAACAC
rnacentral:rRNA from 1 species